UGCACUUUAUAAUUUUUCACCAUCAAUAUCGCUGUUAUUUAAUAUCUCAUAUUAAGGAAAAUUUUAAAAUAUAAUGCUUACUUAUUAAAAAAAAAAAAGCACAUCCCUCAUAUAAAUAAAAGGACCAUUCUGCCCCUAUUCCUUCUUUUUAUUAUUAUUUUUUUCCAUUUCAAACACAGCAUAUGGUGCUGGGCCUACACUCAAUCACCUGCACGGUGCACUUGACGAGUACAAUUUCUUUUUCACUUUUUUUUUCGCCUCCAUUUACAAGACUUUUUCGAUUUUUAUUAAUUUUACAUAUAUUAAUUUUAUUUUAUUUUAAUAAGAUAUUUUGACUAUAAAAAUAUAAAAGAAAUAAAAAGUUUCAUGUAUUAUAAAAUUUUAAUCUAUACUAAUAUAGAUUAUGUUAAAUUAAUAUAUACUUAUAUUUCUACGGAAAAUAAUAUUUACUUGGAAUUUCAAUAUUAUAUUAUUGUUUUACCUCUGCCUUUCUUUUUUUUCAAUUUUUAUUCAAGUAAUUUUGGUCUGGUUUUCUUAGGAAGAGAACAGAGUCUGGUGUUUCUUGACAAUAGCAUUUUUGGGUUUCUUCAGUGUGUUGUGGAGGGAAAGUCUCAGAUAUAACAUAUUGAAAUUGUAUGAUUAUAUUUUCAGCUUGGAGGUUUCAUUAACAUGUCUUCUGCCAUUUGCUAUGUUUUAAUGCAGAUGCAGAAAAAAAUUAUAUUUUUUAAUUAAUUUUGAUUUCUGUCAUUUUCUGCAUAUGCAAAAUUGAUGCUUAUAUGUGCUAAUUAUUUGAUAUUUUUUGUAGAUUUUAUGAACUUUAUGGAAUACUAUGUGGAAUUUAUGGAAUUUACAGCAGACCCAAAGAUUAAGAAUUUAGACGUAUGAAAGGCUGAACAAAGCAGGCCCAAACCGGCAAACCAAACGGUUCGGCUCAGAACCAAAUUAACCAAAUGCUCAGGCGCUAGUUUGCACAACUCAAACCAAUUAUCUUCCAGUCACAAAGAAGCAACCUUACCAUGUUCCAAGGUUCACCUCUAUAUUGCAACACAAAGGUAAAAGAAAAUUUA
rnacentral:misc_RNA from 1 species